rnacentral:misc_RNA from 1 species
GAUGAAGAACGUAGUGAAAUGCGAUAAGUAGUGUGAAUUGCAGAAUUCAGUGAAUCAUCGAAUCUUUGAACGCACAUUGCGCCCCUUGGUAUUCCAUGGGGCAUGCCUGUUCGAGCGUCAUCUACACCCUCAAGCUCUGCUUGGUGUUGGGCGUCUGUCCCGCCCCCGCGCGUGGACUCGCCCCAAAUCCAUUGGCAGCGUUCCUUGCCCCCUCUCGCGCAGCACAUUGCGCUUCUCGCGGGCGGCUCCGGGACGCGAUCCAGCAAGAUGACCACCGUCUUUGACCUCGGAUCAGGUAGGGAUACCCGCUGAACUUAAGCAUAUCAAUAAGCGGAGGA